AGUGCCCGAGGUGGCCCGCCCGCUGUACCAGAGCAGGAAGCCUCGUCCUCCUGUGCCCUCAUCCGUCGUCAUCCUCAGGGUCACCUGGUUGCCGGGGGCGACUAGGGGCGCAGGCCGGAAGGUCCCACAAAAGCGUCCGAGCCGCUGGCCGGAAGUCCCAGACCCAGCGAAGACCUCCAGAGCAUCGUAGCGGCAGGCGGGGUGCAGCUCCAGGAAUUCCCGGAAUCCUCCUCGGCCCCCCUUCCAGACUCCCGCCUCACUCUGCCUGGCAGUCCAGGGACAGGAGCCGCCUAACUACUUCCAGAUGUGGACACAGCCACGAGGCGGUGGGGGGGAGGGGGUGGAGAGAUGGAGGGAGCUGCAGUGGCGAUGGCCCUCUGAUUGAACCUGGAGGCCAGGCUCCGCGAGCUCCACACCUUAGCCCUGCCCCUGUUCCAAACUACUUCAGAUUCUGACUCCCAAGUCU
rnacentral:lncRNA from 1 species